CUUUGCCUGCCGGAGGCCACCGGCGAUGGCGAGGGGGAGAGGAGGCUGGCAUUGGGGAGGCCGCGGGAGGGGCGGUGGUCGCCGCCCGUGCCGCCCCGGGGAGAGAGCGACGCGGGGGCCAGGAGGGUCGCGGACCACCCUACCGGGCUUUUUGAACUAUCUGCGGUCCAAGAACGAAGAUCGUCAAUGGAGUAGAUCAUGAGAGCAAUUUACAUGGCCAUCAGAAGCCACCAUCUCGUCCAGUUUUCCUGAUCAUCGGAAGUCGGAAGCAUUAUGGCGAACACCUUGCGACCAUGGUGUCCAGUGUCCACGGCUACAGCGGUGCCCCGUCGUCCUCCCUCCUCCCGUGCUCCCGGCCACUCCUCCGGCCGCCGAUGUACUCAAGAAAUCUAGUGCGGGCCCAGGUUGACGGUUUGGUGCGUCCGUUCUUUUCCUUGUACCGGGCCAUCAGUUUGGCCCAUGUCAAGGUAAGGAGCCGGUUAUAUCGUAUUUGAAAUUUUGAAUUGUACCACACCGCUUACGGAAGGGGAUCCAAACCGAUUUAUAAUCUGGUUCCGGGACAAGGUCUUCACCACUUGAUAAGAGUGGUAAGCUAUAUCAAAAACAUUGAACAAUCAUCAGUAAUUGAGAUUUCACCAAGUCAUUGUUCUUUCGAGGGUGAUUUCCUUGGGUAUGAGCACAUGUCAUGUUUACCUACACACCGACAUGGUGUGCAUAGCUUUUUUU